rnacentral:rRNA from 1 species
UACGUAGGGCGCAAGCGUUGUCCGGAAUUAUUGGGCGUAAAGAGCUCGUAGGCGGUUUGUCGCGUCUGCUGUGAAAACUGGAGGCUCAACCUCCAGCCUGCAGUGGGUACGGGCAGACUAGAGUGCGGUAGGGGAGAUUGGAAUUCCUGGUGUAGCGGUGGAAUGCGCAGAUAUCAGGAGGAACACCGAUGGCGAAGGCAGAUCUCUGGGCCGUAACUGACGCUGAGGAGCGAAAGCGUGGGGAGCGAACAGG